rnacentral:rRNA from 1 species
GAUGAACGCUGGCUACAGGCUUAACACAUGCAAGUCGAGGGGAAACGACGGGGAAGCUUGCUUCCCCGGGCGUCGACCGGCGCACGGGUGAGUAACGCGUAUCCAACCUGCCUCUGACUGAGGGAUAACCCGUCGAAAGUCGGCCUAAUACCUCAUGGCAUCGUCUGCGGGCAUCCAACGACGAUUAAAGAUUUCAUCGGUCAGGGAUGGGGAUGCGUCUGAUUAGCUUGUUGGCGGGGUAACGGCCCACCAAGGCGACGAUCAGUAGGGGUUCUGAGAGGAAGGUCCCCCACAUUGGAACUGAGACACGGUCCAAACUCCUACGGGAGGCAGCAGUGAGGAAUAUUGGUCAAUGGGCGAGAGCCUGAACCAGCCAAGUAGCGUGCAGGAUGACGGCCCUAUGGGUUGUAAACUGCUUUUAUGCGGGGAUAAAGUGAAGGACGUGUCUUUCAUUGCAGGUACCGCAUGAAUAAGGACCGGCUAAUUCCGUGCCAGCAGCCGCGGUAAUACGGAAGGUCCGGGCGUUAUCCGGAUUUAUUGGGUUUAAAGGGAGCGUAGGCCGUGGAUUAAGCGUGUUGUGAAAUGCAGGUGCUCAACGUCUGCACUGCAGCGCGAACUGGUCCACUUGAGUGUGCGCAACGCAGGCGGAAUUCGUCGUGUAGCGGUGAAAUGCUUAGAUAUGACGAAGAACUCCGAUUGCGAAGGCAGCUUGCGGGAGCACAACUGACGCUGAAGCUCGAAAGUGCGGGUAUCGGACAGG